UGAUAUAAAAUGUUGCCUCAUCUAUAUC
rnacentral:sRNA from 1 species